GUGCCAGCCGCCGCGGUAAUACGGAGGGUGCAAGCGUUAUCCGGAUUCAUUGGGUUUAAAGGGUGCGCAGGCGGAAUGAUAAGUCAGUGGUGAAAUCCUACGGCUCAACUGUAGAACUGCCAUUGAUACUGUCGUUCUUGAGUACAGUUGAAGUGGGCGGAAUGUAUCAUGUAGCGGUGAAAUGCAUAGAUAUGAUACAGAACACCGAUAGCGAAGGCAGCUCACUAAACUGAAACUGACGCUCAUGCACGAAAGCGUGGGGAUCAAACAGGAUUAGAUACCCUGGUAGUCCACGCUGUAAACGAUGAUCACUCGUUGUUGGCAAUAUAUCGCCAGCGACUGAACGAAAGCAUUAAGUGAUCCACCUGGGGAGUACGAUCGCAAGGUUGAAACUCAAAGGAAUUGACGGGGGCCCGCACAAGCGGAGGAGCAUGUGGUUUAAUUCGAUGAUACGCGAGGAACCUUACCUGGGCUCAAACGCAGGACGACAUCCCGUGAAAACGGGAUUCCCUUCGGGGCGUUUUGCGAGGUGCUGCAUGGUUGUCGUCAGCUCGUGCCGUGAGGUGUCGGGUUAAGUCCCAUAACGAGCGCAACCCCUAUCCUUAGUUACCAUCAGGUAAUGCUGGGAACUCUAAGGAAACUGCCUACGCAAGUAGUGAGGAAGGCGGGGAUGACGUCAAAUCAGCACGGCCCUUAUGUCCAGGGCUACACACGUGCUACAAUGGCCGGUACAGAGGGUCGCUACCUGGUGACAGGAUGCCAAUCUCGAAAACCGGUCUCAGUUCGGAUCGAAGUCUGCAACUCGACUUCGUGAAGCUGGAUUCGCUAGUAAUCGCAUAUCAGCAAUGGUGCGGUGAAUACGUUCCCGGGCCUUGUACACACCGCCCGUCAAGCCAUGGAAGCUGGGGGUACCUGAAGUCCGUGACCGCAAGGAGCGGCCUAGGGUAAAACUAGUGACUGGGGCUAAGUCGUAACAAGGUAACC
rnacentral:rRNA from 1 species